rnacentral:rRNA from 1 species
AGCAGCCGCGGUAAUUCCAGCUCCAAUAGCGUAUAUUAAAGUUGUUGCAGUUAAAAAGCUCGUAGUUGAAUUUCGGGGUCAGCAGGUCGGUCGUGCCACUGGUAUGUACUGGUCUUGCUGACUCCUCCCUCUUGACGAACCGUAAUGCCAUUAAUUUGGUGUUGCGGGAAAUCAGGACUGUUACUUUGAAAAAAUUAGAGUGUUUAAAGCAGGCUUACGCUUGAAUACAUUAGCAUGGAAUAAUGAAAUAGGACGUUCGAUCCUAUUUUGUUGGUUUCUAGGAUUGACGUAAUGAUUAAUAGGGAUAGUUGGGGGCAUUAGUAUUCAAUUGUCAGAGGUGAAAUUCUUGGAUUUAUUGAAGACUAACUACUGCGAAAGCAUUUGCCAAGGAUGUUUUCAUUAAUCAAGAACGAAAGUUAGGGGAUCGAAGACGAUCAGAUACCGUCGUAG